GUGAGGAAUAUUGGACAAUGGGCGCAAGCCUGAUCCAGCCAUGCCGCGUGCAGGAAGACGCAUCUAUGGUGUGUAAACUGCUUUUGUACGGGAAGAAACACUCCCUCGUGAGGGAGCUUGACGGUACCGUAAGAAUAAGGAUCGGCUAACUCCGUGCCAGCAGCCGCGGUAAUACGGAGGAUCCAAGCGUUACCCGGAAUCAUUGGGUUUAAAGGGUCCGUAGGCUGUUUAAUAAGUCAGUGGUGAAAGCCCAUCGCUCAACGAUGGAACGGCCAUUGAUACUGUUAGACUUGAAUUACAAGGAAGUAACUAGAAUAUGUAGUGUAGCGGUGAAAUGCUUAGAUAUUACAUGGAAUACCAAUUGCGAAGGCAGGUUACUACUUGUGGAUUGACGCUGAUGGACGAAAGCGUGGGGAGCGAACAGGAUUAGAAACCCCGGUAGUCC
rnacentral:rRNA from 1 species